UACAUAGGUUCACUCAGGAAUCGAUGUAGUAUUGAGGCCCAUAUUCACCCUCGCGUUCGCGCCCCUUCUCCAUGAGAAGAACAUUAAGCAUCUUCUUGAACACCAAAACUACGCACGCCCCAGAAUCUCCAUUGUCAUAUAAGCUUAAGCACCAUCAAGUUUCGUUUUUUGGUGACCAACGCGAGCCAUUUCCCCCCGAAGAAGUGUCUCUGGAAGCAUCAUCUUCUUCUGCAAAAGCUUCAGCACCAUUGUUGAAAUCGUGCGCGCAAGGAACCCUAAAUCGUUUAAGGUUUGGACUGAAUCGUAGUGAUACAUCUUCCUCGCUACAAAAUGCGGUUACUGUGCAGAACAACACAAACAAGCUGAAGAAGUCACACAAGUAAAGCUGCAGUUGGUUGGUGAGUUUCCUUCUGAGUUUCUGCCUAUCCUUAGCUUUGUGGUUCUGAAACCAGUAGAACAAAUUCUUUCCCUGUAUCUUGCCAUAGAAGGAAAGGCCAUAAUUUGAACUACCAAGAAACCAACUGAAGCAUGCCGCUGGAAGUAGGAAGAUUAAAAAAGGAUAAUUGAAAGGUCUCUCCUUACUUUCCAACUUUUUCCUGAAAAGAGAUAAGAAAAAAUCAAGUGGUGCAACCAACCUGUUUGGAAAUCAGAAUCAGCUUGGAACUCCUUUACAACAAAUUCAUUCCACUAUUGAAAAGGAAGUGUGCAGAGGGUGAUACUUCUCUUCUUGACAUCCAUUAGUCAACACAUCUAGUUUGUGAUAUCUUCUUAGUAAGAUACAUGGAUACUCAAUUUGAUCCACAAGACGCCCGUGCUCCUCAAGGCUCCCCUGCUCCUCAAGGCUCCACUGCUCCUUAAGUCUCCCUUGCUUCUCAAGGCUCCACUGCUCCAACACUCCCUGCUUCACAGACUAUAUCUAAGAAAAAGAGGAAGCCGAUGCGAAUGAAAAACUUAGCCCGUAAGCGCAUGAAUGAGGUGAAAAUAUCACUUGAUGUGAAUCCCACUACUGGGAUAGUUUCAAGGCCAAACAAAGUCCAAUUUGCAAGUUAUCUAGGAACCCUUGCUCGAGACAAGAUUAGUAUUUUAGUUCCUUCUUGGAAAGAAGUUCUACAGACUACUAAAAACAUGAUUUGGCAGGAUAUAUUGGAAUUCUAUGACAUUAGUGAUACUACAGUAUUAAAGAGUAAAAUGCUUUCAACUGUUGCUACAAAAUUUAGGCAACACAAGUAUUAUCUUACCAGGGAAUGGGUACAUGGGAAACACAAGGGUAAAGGCCCGUGUGAUGAGUAUAAUAUUGACCUGAAGAAUGGGAGAAAUUCAAAGAAAUUCGGAAUGACCCUUCUUGGAAGCUUGUAAGAAAAAAAGCGCAGGAUAUCCAGAAACUCAAUAAUGCACCCCACCUAUUAUCUCGUGGGGGUUAUGAGCUACUUAUGAGAAAUUAUAUGAAAAGAGAACUUAAACGACUUAAGGAGGUAGCAAUACAAUCUGGUGCUAGUGAGGAUGUAGUGAUUGAUCCUCCACCUCCUCCUCCACGCCAUAGGUUGUGGAACAUGGCUCACACAAAAAGCUCUGAAGAGAUGACUUCUGAGUCUGCUAAUCAAAUUGCACAAAAAAUUAAUGUGUUGGAGGAGCAAGAAUCACAAGGUUCAUUUAUUCCUAAAGGCCGUUAGGAUACAUUAAAUACUGCCCUUGGAUGACUAGAGCAUCCUGGUCGUGUUCGUAUAGCUGGGGUUGGUGUUACUAUUGGUAAUUACUUUGGACCAUUAUCACAGGGGUCAUCCUUAUCUAGAUUGAGCCCACAGGAUCUUGAAGCCCUCACACAACAAAUAUAUGUACGGGUCACACAAACUUUAAUGGAAAAGUACCCUAAUAUGAGUACUGCACAGUCACAAGAUGUUCCUCCAGUUGAGGUAGAUCAUGCUAUCGUGGCUCGUGUUAGCACUAAAGGCAGUUGCCUAACUCCUUCAAGUGCUACUGUUGCUGGUAAUCCCUUUAGAGAUGAGGUUCAUGCUGAUAUCUCCAAUAAGUGUGAGUUAUGCAUUGAGGGGAUUCCUUCGCUUGUAGUGGCCAAUGGUAGAGUUUGUGAGGCGAGUUCAACUAUACACAACGUGCCUUUGACAAAUGAUUUGGUCAAGGUGUUCAUUGAGGAAGUUCGAGAUUCUAAUGCUCGAGUUCCCAUACCUACUUCAGAGGUUCAGCUGGUUGGGCAGGCCUUAAAAACUUUCAUUGCGUGGCUGAGACAUCUUGUCAGACCUAUUUCAACCACGGAUAUUUAUCGAGUAAAUAAACGAGCUCCAUCUAUUGAUAGCUCGGAACCCAAUGGUGAUCCUAUUACUGGGUUACGUGAGGCAUCAAAGUCCUUACUUUAUGGACAACCAUUUUAGGUGAUAUGUCCUGCAAGUCUAUUUGGGACCAGCGAUGAUGAUUUUACGCUGUAUAUUUCAUUUCAAAAUAUAUAUGAAUUAUUACAACGUGAAGCAAUGCUUAACAUCUCAAUUAUACAAUUAUGGAUAUUAUAUUUGAAUCGUAAAAUUGAAGAACUCAAUCAUGGUGACUUGUAUGGAUUUCUUGAGCCCCAAUCAAUUCAAAAAUCUGGGAAUAAAAAAGCGGAGUCUCAAAAUUAUAUCAUUGAAAGGUUACAAAAUUCACCCAAGCAAAUUUACUUUGCUCCUUACGUUGAUCAAAAUCAUUGGAAGUUAUUGGUUCUCUGUCCGACAAAGAAUGUUGCUGUUUGGUUUUGUUCUUUCCAUCAUAAGCCAAAUGUUCAAAUCAAAAAUUUAAUUAAAAGUGUUAUGGUUGUCUAUAAUGUCAUAGGGGGUAGAUCUACAGCACAACUAAAGAACCUAGAUUGCAUUUAUCCCAUGAGUAAUCAACAACAAGGAGGUUAUGAAUGUGGAUAUUAUGUGAUGAAUUGGAUGUUAGACAUAAUUGAAGGGGAAGUAACAAAUGACUGGAUUGAGCUUUUUGAUGAUGUUGCACCAUUGCCAGAAACCAAAUUGGAAGACAUUCAUAGUCAAUGGACAACCUUCUUUUUAGAAAAAUUUAGAAAUAGAGCAUGAUUUUUAGUUUAAUUAGGAUUAUUUAUAAUAUAACUCCAAAACAAUUUUCUGCCUUUAUUUUCUCCUAAACCCUCAAUAUUAUUCUUCUGCGGAUACUGAUGUCAGUGUACUAUUAACACCUGCGAGUGGAUUUACCAUGAAAAGUAAAUACUGAAACAAUGGUUGAAGAAAGAAUUAACUCAAUAUCAUGAAAGUUGAGAUUACUUGUAUCCUUUUAAAUUGUUAUACUUCCUGUGAAGAAAGUGUUAAGGAUGUGCUCUGCGAGUGGCAGUUAUUGUUUAGUUUCAGUGGAGUGUAGUUAUUGUUUGGUGUUAUUAGGUAGUUAUUCUAUACAUGUGACAAUUAUUAUUUAGUAUAUACUGUAGAGGAAGUCAGAGAGGAGACACAUUGUUAAGGGGAAACAUUCUAUUUGUCAUUAUGUGUUUGAACUUGGCCUAUGAACCAAUUAAAUUUCUAAUAUAAUCCAGUAUCUUGUUUUGUUUAAUUAAAUUUGUGAGCCUAUUAGGUUCAGAGGAGUUUCUGUCUAAAAACCAAACUUGAUCACCCCUACUAGAAACAAUCAGGCUAGCACUAAAUAGCAAUGUUGGACCAAUCAGUUAACGCAUACUUAUAAGUGAAGAAAAGGAAAUAAAUUAACGAGAUGAAAUAAAUUAAUUGAACUUCUUCCAUGUGUCUCAACUUUUUUAGAAGUUUUUUUUGUGAUUUUAACUCGUGGGAGAUGUUGGUUUAUUUUAUUUUCUUAAGUCAUUUUAUUUUUGUUCUCGUUUUGGUGUUUGAUGAAUAGUUUAUUCCAAAUGCUUAGUCAUCGAACUGUUAGGCAAAUUUUCUUACAUCGCUUUUUAUCUCGUGUCAUUACUUGCUCCUUACUUGGUGUACCAAUGGCAACUUCUUGUUUCUAGAUUUGUUUCUAAUUUCUGUUUUCUAGUUGUGCCUAGAUGCUGGCUGGCGUAGAGAUUUUUUUUCUCCUUCUUCCGGUUUUUGAUUCAUGGAAUUUGGUUAUGAUGGUUAGUGUAGGAGAUUUCUGUUUCUGGAGGAAGGUUCCAAAACUGUUUAAGGGAGAUCCAUGCUCAUGCUUGUGAUGUUGAGGAUACGAAAAAGGGUAUCAAGAUCAUAAAGGAGGAUUAGGGAAAAUUGCAUGUACACAUUGCUUCAUACAACAACUUCCUUACUGUAGCAGGAUUGGCUUUUUUAGCUGCAGGUUUUGCCUGCCUUGGCAAAGGUGACCCUUCAAAACUACUAUCUAUAUCUCUAUAUAGACAAACCAGGGUGGAAGCUAGGAUUGACAUGGGAUAACAAUGAAGUGAUAUGGUCAAUGAGUCGUGCCAUAGCAACUCACAGAGGGAAUUGCUCAUCUUACAGCGGCUCUUAGAUGCCAAAUUCCUGCAGCAAGGAUCCCAUCAUAGUUAUGUAAUAUUUUCUCAUACAACAAAUGAUUCUUUUUUUGUUGUACCACUGAAAGAAAGUUACCUCAAAUAGAAUUAAAGAAGCACGAGACACACACACUCAGUCAAUUAGAUUUACAAAUUAUACUAUGAAUGACUUUUAAAGUAGUUAUUACAAAACUCAACAAUUUUAUCGUGGGUUUUGGUUUGGUGUUAUAAAUAAAAUGUUUAUACAGGUACCCUAGAAAGAAUCUAAAAAAAUAAUUGAACUUUUUUUUUUAAAUGAAAUCUACAUCGGUUUCAAAUAGAACCGAUAUAGAUUUGAGUACACAUCUACAUCGGUUGUUGGUAUAACCGAUGUAGAAAUGUGGUCAAAUCUACAUCGAUUUUACUUAGAAUCGAUGUAGAUUUGAACGCAAAUUUACAUCGGUUUUUCUGACAAUCGAUGUAGAUUAUGUAUAAAUCUACAUCGGUUUUAAAACUAAUGUAGAAGUCUUUGUAUUACUAAGUCUCUCUAUUCUACAUCGGUUUUAUAACCGAUGUAGAUUACCUUCCAGAACCGAUGUAGAUAAUACAUCCUGUAGUAGUGGCGCAUCCAUUUCCCUCUCUGAAGAUAUGAGAGAAACGUAAUCUCAUCUACCUAACAUGGAAUAACAUGUUCAUUCACUGUACAUACAAACUACAAGGAACUAAUGAAGGGUAAAAGAAGGCUCUGAUGGCUAGAAGUGAAUCUAUCUCUAUCCAAAGCGACAUCCAGACAUGACUCCGAGUAAUCUGCACUACAUGAAUAAUGGCCAACACUUCUGCUUCCAGUGCUGAUUUGGCUACUACUGACUCGGCUAGGCAUACCACCAGGUUGGCUCUGCUGUCUCUAAAGAUGAUCCUGCAUGCUGUUGAAGAAGAGAAGGUUCAAAAGCUCGUUGGUUCAAAUCCAUCGGACCUUGCAAGGUCUAAUUUGGCCAAACUGGACAAGUGAGCAG